rnacentral:tRNA from 1 species
GCAGUCAUUUCUGAGCGGUUAAGAAGAUUGACUUGAAAAUCAAUUGGGUAUUGCCCGCGUAGGUUCAAAUCCUGCUGACUGCG